rnacentral:rRNA from 1 species
GACAGAGGGUGCAAGCGUUAAUCGGAAUUAUUGGGCGUAAAGCGCACGUAGGUGGAUUAGUAAGUUGGAUGUGAAAUCCCUGGGCUUAACCUGGGAAUUGCAUUCAAUACUGCUAGUCUAGAGUACAGUAGAGGGAGGUGGAAUUUCCGGUGUAGCGGUGAAAUGCGUAGAUAUCGGAAAGAACAUCAGUGGCGAAGGCGACUUCCUGGACUGAUACUGACACUGAGGUGCGAAAGCGUGGGGAUCAAACAGG